CAUUUUGUAACUACCGUUAGUUAGCCAACCAACACCUAACAGCUGUUAAGACCGUUACUUAUUUUGGUUGUGCAACAACGAGUUGUACCUUAUGCAUUGAGGGGAGUAUCUUUAGAUAUAGUACUCUUCCCUCACACAACGACUUUACCAUCUAUAUAUAUAUAGUAUAUUAUAAAAAGAAUAACAUUUUAUUUUUUUUAAUUACACAGUCAAUCUUUUAUCUUUUAAAAUUUCUUCUAUAAUAAUUAUUUUUACAUCUACUAUUUACACCACUCAACGUCUCAUCUACCACCAACAGUCGCCUCCACCACAUCGUCACUGCCACAAUCAACACCGUAUUGUUCGGAGGUAGUGGGAGUCAGGGAAUGAGUUUCAGAGCGGCGUCACGCGGUAAUACCGUUGUCACCUAGAGAGGAAGAAAAUCAGGGAGCUUCGCCGAAAGAAGGAAGGGAAGAAGGAAGAGAAAUGAGAUUGACUGGAAGUGAUGUGUGUGGACUCUUUUUUUAUUGUAAAAAUUAAUUGUCAUAAAUUGACUUUUUUAGUAUUUUUCAUUCAAUA